CAUAUGAAUUUGGAGGGGACAUAACAUUCAAUCCGUAACAGUAAGUGCUCAAUUAAUAACUUCUGAAUAUGAAAGAAUGGAUGCAUUAUUAUGUUGGAGGAAGAAUCUGAAUUGUCAUACAUUUGUAUGACCAAUGGUCACUAGUAGGGAAAUUGGGCAUGUUACUAUCCAUUCUCCACCAUCAUCUAUAGAAGAUCAUAAAAGUUGCCACUCUUAAAUUCUAGAUUAUAACCUGGUACAUUUGGACUGAUUUGGAUGUAAAACUUCACAUCUCUUAGUGUUUUCUCAGGACUAACUUCUUGCAUAAGACAAAACAUAAAUGAAUUUUUUAGGAGAGCUAAGUCUCUGGGAAUUCUACUGCAAGCACUAAAUACCCAGUUCUCUGUUUUAUGAACAGGAGGAACAGUCUACGUCAUGGAAGCUGGCUUAUACAGCAGAAAUGAUCUAAAACUCUAAUUCAACAGCACGCUGACACAGACCACAGAUAAUCAAGCCUGUCCCAUAACUACAUUGCCCAGAAUAUGUGAGUUUUUCUGCCAGGAGUGACCAUCAAUAGAAUUACAGUACUGGCCUCCUGUCUGAUGUGAACAGACCCAGGAGGUGGUCAGUUAAUCAACAAAGUCAGCUAAAAGUGGAGAGUCAUAAAAGAGGAUGCAUGAUAACUUACACAAUUCAUGGCAAAUAGACUUUAAAACAUGCAUACGCAUACUCAUCCUUCAAUCUUUUGGUAUGAGGUGAGGGCAUUCUUUUAAGUACUGUUCUGCUGAUUGGAAUAUCUGUUUUUCUGCUUUACAUAAACCAUCUCCACAAUGCAUCUGCCACAAUUUCCAGUGUCAAUAUCUUUAGAUUAGAUUGAGAACUUAAAUAUAGUUGGAAAGCAUUCUGAGAACAGAAUCUUCCUACACUUCUAUGACUUUUUGCAGUUUUAUGUUUAUAAACCUCCUAAUUUCUCAUUGUUUGCCUCUGUUGAAUCUGUUCAAAGCCAUAAAUUCCCUUUAUAUUAGUAUUUCAUUGGUUUUUCUGAAUAUUUUAUUAAAUUCUGGAAUUGUAAUAACAAGUACAAUUUUCAUGAAUAGGUUUCAGAACUAACACAACUGAUUCUUGACAAAAAUACAACUCCAUGGGUGGGAACAGACAUGCACACUGCAGAGUGGCCAAUUAGCUGUGAGUAGGGUAAAGGUUUCAUAGAUUUAGUGCAAGCUUUGCCUUGAGUGGUCUGCAAAACUGUGUUAUUAGUGAUGAUCUACACUGUGUGACAAUGAGAAACAACAUGCCAGGCUUUCGUUGGGUGAGGAUGUGUAGAUCAUACUUUUAAUAUAAUAUUAAAAUUAUUUCAAGAAAAUGUAAAAUACAGCACUUACUUAAGCUGGCUUGACAACGCAAGAGGGAUUUGGUUAUUUGUGCUGAGAAAAACAGAAUAAAAUAAAGAGUACUUGAUCUGGAGUCAAAAAACUUGGAUCGACGUCUCAGGUCUGGCAUUUACUAGCUGGAUGAGCUUGGCCUUCCUUUGUACCUUCUCAAUGUGCCUGUCUGGGUGCCUGAAAGUUGUACCCUGAAUAAAGAUUUAGACUUAGCUCAUAGAGGUCCAAAACAAUUACUAUUAGGAGAUUUUGGUGAAAAGUGUCAGUUUUAUAGGAAAUUUAUUGCAUUAGUUAGAGCUCUCAGUUGCAAAUAAUAGACAUCAACUUUGAGUGAUUAAGGAGAAAAAGAAUUUAUCAAAAAGAUGUGGGGAGAAAUUACAGAAUCCUUGGGAGGGCUGCCGUGCCAAGCCAGAGGCAAAGCUGCCAGAAUCAACAUCCCAAACAAUGCAUGAGAAGUGGUCUUCAGCCAUCACUAAGACAUAGAUACAGACGUGUGUACCACUUCUGUACUAGGAAAGUGAUUUUAACACAACCAACGCAGACACCACUGUUGUCAAGGUUUCAACCUUGUAGCUACUGUUUCCUGCUGCCACUGCAUAGGAAGAGAGAGAGAGAGAAAGAGGGAGAGGGAGAGAGAGACAGAGAGAGAGAGAUCCCUUUAUCCUUUCUUGCUUGAGUCCUUAGAUCCUGAGUCCAGUCCAGCGUGGAUGCAUCUCUUUUUAAUUGGUUACAAGUUUGAGCCUAGUUAUAAAUAAUGCUAGGAAAGCAAGUACCUAGUGUUUUUGGCUUUGAUAGCAAGCUCUUCAGAUAGGAAUGCAGCAAAUGUAGAAAGGGCUUAGAUUCUGAGCCACCAACAUGAAUGUCAAAUGUCUGCCUAGGCACAAAACAGACAUGUUGAGGCCAGCAUGAAUUGCAGGAAUGCUGCAAGAUAUGUGCCUAGGUGAAUAUAAAGUGUCCAAAAAAGAGAAUUAAGAAGACCUCUAUCCUCAUUUAGGAGGAGGCAAGCCACCGAACCCUCUGAAGCCUGAAGGAAUUAGAUCAUGGUGAUAGCUGGGAAUUGCAGUUUUAUGCUCACUCUCAAGGGAGCUGGUGAUGUCUGUGAGUGAGCCGAUGAGUGCUGGACCUGUUUGGCAUCAAACGGAAGAGCAAUGACAUGAGACUGAAGAUGAAGCAUCCAUCUUUUUACAAUGAGGCAAUAAGCAAGAGGACUAAAUCCAACAUACGAGGGAUGGCAGAGCAAGAAGCAAGAGUCGAGGUCAUUGACAGCACGCUCGAAAAGCUGCAGCAGCUCUGGACUGCUUCAAUUCAGAUUUCUUAUUAUGCGAAAAAAUAAACCUUGUGGUCAAGG